rnacentral:lncRNA from 1 species
CCACCUUCUAUGAAGAUAAUACAGUUUUCCCACCAACAUUUGUUGAAGAGCUGUCUUUUCCUCAGUGUGUUUUAGGCACCUCUGUCUCCAUAUGUAGAUGGGCUGAUUAGUGGUGAGAAUCCAGAUGAUGGUGUAACAGAAGACAGAGGCAAUGGGAAGCAAGCUCUAACUGACCAAGACAAAGCAAAGCAGAGAGGAGGGAUGAACGAAUUAUGGUUAAAAAUAAUGACAUCAAUCGAUUCCCAACAGCAGACUUCUCAUGUCCCAGUCACCUCUAAGAUCAUGCUUCCAAAAAAACCAACAAGGACACUUGGUAACUCAGCCAGGCCUG